AGCUCCAAUAGCGUAUAUUAAAGUUGCUGCGGUUAAAAAGCUCGUAGUUGAAAUUGUGUUCAUGCAGUGGGGUCCAUCUUAUGGUGGUUACUCUGCUGCUGAACAUUUUACAGAACUCUCUAUCGAUGCUCUUAAACGAGUGUCUUUAGUGGUCUGUACGUUUACCUUGAAUAAAAUAGAGUGCCCAAAGCAGGCAAAAUGCCUGAAUAAAAAAGCAUGGAAUAAUGAAAUAGGACCUCGGUUCUAUUUUGUUGGUCUUCGGAUCUGAGGAAAUGAUUAAGAGGGACAGACGGGGGCAUUCGUAUUGCUACGCUAGAGGUGAAAUUCUUGGACCGUAGCAAGACGAACUACAGCGAAAGCAUUUGCCAAGAAUGUUUUCA
rnacentral:rRNA from 1 species